CAUAGAUGCAAGACGGACGGGCAACCUUUUGUAUACUGAGUGGGGAAGAUUAUCUUGAUGCGUUUGAAAAACUUUUGAGGUUGGACUUGCAAGGGAAGCAGGUAUAAUGCGGUCCAUGUCUUACGUUUAAAUGUCAUACGAACGAGAUCAUGUCUGAAAUUUAUGAAACUGCAAAACUCAUGGCUUUAAACGCUCACAAGCGAAUUAUACGAUGAAGUUACAAGGUGAAAAAACUGUAAGAAAGGGCCACCUUGCUGUCACUACAAAGAUUUUUGAAGUGGCUCCCUCACUGCACAUGGUGGCGCUCAGAUAAACCAGAGGAGACACUCUGGUAUUAUACAACGCUAACUUUGAGGUAUCCACUUUGCUUGGUCGUAUUCCAUCUGCCGUUGGGUAUCAAGUAUCAACCAGCUUUGUAACAAAUCUUAGGCCUAGCAUAUCACAGCAACUACAAAAGGGUUCCAUUACAUCUGUCCAAUGUCCCAUACUCUGAUGAUUUGACGGGUCCAUCCCCUACCACUACAUUUGCUCAUUUCGAUGUCACAGGCCCACAACUAUGUUAUCUCGACAGAUCUGUUCUGAAGCUGGUUUGCAGCUGUUGCUGCUGUUCCGCUGCUGUACAUCACCAAAAACAGUCCCUGUUUGCAGCCGACUGCUGCUGUUGGAUCUCGGGUUUAGGGUUCCUGUUUUGUUUUUUUUUUCUUUUUGGUGUUGUUGACUGAUCGUUUGGAAGACAAGGCGUGAAGUCCUUGUUUGGGCUUGUUUUAAUUCAGGUCGGCUGGCUUUUAUUUAAGCCUUAAUUAAAAGGUUGGUUCCAAUUAGAUUUCUUGGGGACCAAGUUUGUAAACCCUAGCUGUCUCCUAUAUAUUCUGGUCUAUUGUAUUGUAAUCCUGUAUCAUUGAGCUUAAUAAAAACCCUGUUUGCAGCCGUGGA